rnacentral:rRNA from 1 species
UGGGGAAUAUUGGACAAUGGGCGCAAGCCUGAUCCAGCAAUGCCGCGUGAGUGAAGAAGGUCUUCGGAUUGUAAAGCUCUUUUGGCGGGGACGAUGAUGACGGUACCCGCAGAAUAAGCCCCGGCUAACUUCGUGCCCGCAGCCGCGGUAAUACGAAGGGGGCUAGCGUUGCUCGGAAUGACUGGGCGUAAAGGGCGCGUAGGCGGAUUGUACAGUCAGACGUGAAAUUCCUGGGCUCAACCUGGGGGCUGCGUUUGAUACGUAUAGUCUUGAGUGAGGAAGAGGGUUGUGGAAUUCCCAGUGUAGAGGUGAAAUUCGUAGAUAUUGGGAAGAACACCGGUGGCGAAGGCGGCAACCUGGUCCUUUACUGACGCUGAGGCGCGAAAGCGUGGGGAGCAAA